GCGGAUGGGUAAGCAUAAUGACAGAGGAUUGAACUUUGAAACAUGCAAAUCGCCAAUGCAGAAAUAUAUAUAUAUGUAUAAGGGUGGAGUCACAAAUAGCUGAUAGUUAAUUACUGCUUCUUUUCAAACGCCUAUUCAUCCAGUGAAUGCUACAAUUUUGAAUAUAUGACGAAUGUGUAUUUAGAAGACCAAUUCUGGGUUCAUACCAUACCCUAUAUUACAGACAACAUCUGUUUUUAUCCGGUUUAAUAGUUUGUAAUUAAGUGAACUAGUUUAAUCUACGUCUUGGACAAAAACGAGUUUAUCGCUUACUGGAAUGCGAGCAUUUCGACACCAUGGAAUCAUUUUCGGAAAUUGUUAUUUUUGUUGUGAUUUCACUAGGAACUAUUGAAGUUGGAGCAAUUAAUCCUUGUGAAAAUUACCGUGACUUUAAUUUGAUACGUGGAGUGUCAUGUAACACCUAUUUAUUUUGUUUCCUUGGAAAGCCGUUUAGACAAGGAUGGUGUUACCUAGGAACUGGAUUCGACCCUAUUUUAAAAAGAUGUACUUGGCAAGCAUUUUUACAAUGUGAAAAAGAAGUACAAGAGAAACAAAAGGAGCUUAAUAACAUUUUUGUGUGUCCAGGCUCUCUGUCCGAGGCUUUUUAUCCCGACUACACUGGAGGCUGUCCCACAAAAAAAUAUUUACAGUGCAACCACGGUGUUCUCACCAAGAAGACAUGUAACACGGGGAUGUUUUACAACGAUGGUAUUGACUCUUGUGACUCGUACACAAAAAUACCAUGUGCUGUUAGUAACGUUCAGUGUCCCCAGGACUUAAUCCACGGAAUAUACGCGGAUUACAGUUCAGGUUGUCCUCCAAAAAAGUAUUUUGUUUGUUUAGGUUAUUUUGAUGAGGCUGCGCAGACCACUCCCACCUACAAAUCUGAAUACACCUGUCCAGAUGGUCUCUAUUAUAAUGAAGGGAUUAAAAGUUGUGAUUUUAUACAAAACAUCCCUUGUCAACACAAUAUUAAAAACUGAUGGAACAUUAUAAAAUACAGUGUGCAAUACGUUUUUUUUUUUUUGGCAAACGGUAUGUCAGUUAAAAUACCGAAAAGUUUUAAGCAAAAGGACACACAUUUGGAUUUUGCAGCCACUUUAAAAUUUGUGUUAAAUGUGCGAAUCUCUUCAAUAUUUGAUGUCAUUUUCGGUCAUAAUUUAAGACGAUCUUCUAUCAAUUAUAAGUUGUUCUAGAAAGGUUAGGAAAGCUAGGUCACCCCGAAGAGUAACACUGUGUGGAAGGUACAUAUAGGCAAAUGUUUACUAUCCAUUUAUUAUAUCUUGCCUAAUAAAAUUUUGAGAAUUCA